CCCGGUUCUCGUUAGAUCACCGAAGUCAAGCAUCAUUGGGCGCGGUCAGUACUUGGGUGGGUGACCACCUGGGAACACCGCGUGCCGUU